UAUAAAGUGGUCUUCUGGAUGUGGUGUGACCAUCGUACAUCAUAAGCUUACAGCAGUGUGGCUACCUCCAUGAGAUGUGCAUAAAAAAUCAAAGAUGAGAAAGUAAGGAUGGGACUGGUUGGGAAAAUGAGAGUCAUCUGGAGUGAGAAAGACAAGAGAGGAUAGCGUGUGUGUGUGUUGGGGGAGUGAAUAUGGUCACACUGUAUGAUAUGCAUGCAUACAUUGCUAAAUUCUCAAUUAAAAAAUAAGAGUGUUUGGAGUACAAGGAGGGAUUUCCCAGUUAGAGCUGUUUGCAUACAUGGUGGCCCAGACCGACUGAGAUCUGCAUAGAGACAAGGGUGCAAUAACUGUUUUGGAAACUGUGGUAGGAAGGAGGUAGUGAGUCAGUGCUUACUGCCCCCAGAAAAAGAUAUUGCUCACAGGGAGGCUUUGGACCAAGUCGGUACAUGCAUGCGGGGUGGGGCUGGAAAGAUAGAUUGGCCUAUGGGAACUUAGAAGAAGAAAGCGGGGGAGAAAGAUGUUAGUGGAGGGAAGGUGGGGAAACACAUUGGAGAAACAGUACCGAAAGUGGGUUUCUUGAGGCAGGAAGAGCUGUUGAAAUAGAAGAACUCCUCUGUUGCAUUUAGAGCAAAGGGACAUUUGUGAGCUGUGUGGGAAGCCCAUGUGUGUUCAUCCCCUAUUGUCAUGCUUCCAACUUUCAUUUCUUUUUUUUUUCCUCUCCAAUACAUGUGAAAUGAUUGUGGCUUAGAAUGAUACUGUUUUGGUAACCUUAGGGCUAUACUUAAUGUCUGAGUUUAGGGCUUAACCAAACAUAGCUUACCUGGAAACUGUUCUUUAUUUAUCAGCAUUCAGAAUAGAAGCUGAGUCACAGCAGUGACACUGACACAUCUGGUUUCUGUCUCAUACUUCCUUAUUUCCUGGCUGUUGGUGAUCUUCACUUUUGCUUGUUGGGAACUUGAAAUACACCGUCUCAAUAACCAUUCACCCUGCUUACGAAUGAUGCCCUCAGACAGGGCCUUCACUGCUUCUCCUCCCAGACAGCAAUGGCUUUGUUUUAAUGACUGUUUUUCAACAUUGAACUAUAUAGCAUUUACUCAAUUAACUGUCAGCAAAAUAAUGUCACCUGCUUAAUUUCAAACACUGGUGAGGGUGGGGAGUACCACCAUCUUAGAGGUGAAGCUGGAAAAACGUGGUGAGAUGGAUUCAUACUGUACAAGAUGUGAGGAAUAUCCUUUUUAUCACAAGAAAGACUAUGAGAAUCCACCAAUGGAGGAGUGGCUAUUCACAAAGCUGGCAUUUCAUGUGGUGGAACAUGCAAGCUGGAUAGUGAUUUCUUUUCAACAUUCAUACCAACUUUGGAAAAGAAGAAUCACAAAUAACAAAGCCUGAGCUUCCCUGACCCAAACACAAAGGAUAUAGAGAGCAGGGCUUUAUCAGCCCAUCUGGGGAGCAGAGGACAUUAAAAUCCCAUCAUUCAUCCUAGAAGUAGGGAAUCUCACCAAAAAUGUGAAAAACCAACCACCUUCUUAUCAGACCUCUUCAACUGAGAUGAUCCCCAAAGGCGGUAGCCAGCUUGCCCUUUACUUCUACUGCAGAAACUCCUGCAGCGUUGUUGACUCCAUCUGAGAGCAUCAAAUCUCAAGAAGGACUGAGCAAGUUCAAGGUGGUGGGUGAGAACUUGCUUUCACUGGAGAGUCACAGCUGACUAAGAGUCACAGCUGGAUGCAGACGGAGAAUGAGAUUCUGGAAGCACAAAGAAUGAAUUCUCACUCCACUCUGGAUAUCUGCCUGGGACCAUGGUUCUUCAGCCAGUGGAAGAAUGCUCAUGAUCAAGACUCCUUCUGUGUAUUCCAGGUCCCUGCUGAACUUCAUAGUCUGGAAGUCUUGGCUGCUCAAAUUUUCUCACAGCCUGUCUUCCUGCAAAACACUCACAGAAAGAACAUAUGGGGCUGGUCUCAAUAUGGAUGCAGCUAAGACAUCAACCAUAGUGGAUCCAGAAUCAUCCCAUCUUUUUGUCCAUGGAUGCCUUGUUAUCAGGUCCAACCUCUUCAUUCUCCAACCCUAUUCCACUGCCAUCUUGUUGAGUGAUCAUGGGCAAAGGUUUAACCUCUCUUGGUUUCGAUGUAGUCACAUGUAAACUAUGUGCUAGAUAGUUUCUGUGUUCCCUCCUGUUCCAGGACUUGGCCCUUUGGAAACAAAGUGCUUUAUCAUUCAGUACACAAGAAGGCACUAACUAGUGCUGUGUCAAGCACUGGCUGCAAGAAACAACAAUUUUUGUUUAUUAAUUGUUAUUUUCUUACUCUUUCUAACAAGCAAUGGUCCUCUCUGACCAUCAGGCUUCUUAGAACCCUUCAGCAGCUUCCCCAUCGUACUUUGUAGAAACAUCAAGACAAAGUGGCAUCCUAUCCUGUGACAUUACCUCACACUUAGUUAAUACACUCCAGAUGCACCAGCUUUCUUUCUGUCUCUCUCUUUCUGGAAUAGGCUGAGCCAUAUCAACUAAAGACUUUUUGCAAGAACUUUUUGUCCUACCAGGAAUGUUCAUCCCCAAGGCAACCUAUGAUUGUCCCUUUCUCAUCAUAUAUGUCCUCAGGGUACCUUGUGAGUUAGUCUCCCCACUUUCAUUUACCUUGUUUUAUUAUGGCUAGUGGAUGAAACCUAUUGUCUAUAGAUUCUUUUGUGCUGCAAGAGCUGGCUGAAUAUUAUGUAUGAGGCAUAGACACAGAGACUGUACCAUCUGCUAGUUGAAAACAUUCAUCAUCUGGUUUAUGUAGGGAAAGAUUUCUAAUCCCUGUAUCCUAUAGUGUCAUUUAUUCACAGUGCAUAUAGUAUUUUAACUGUUAAACCAAACUUCUUCCUAUUUUGUUUGCUUUUAACUUUUUUCCCUAACAAGAAUGUAAAUGCCUUCAAGUUAAGGGACUCAUCUGUCUUGAUCUAGGUGGUUUUAUUAGCCUGACACAAAGCCAAUAAAUAAUGGUAGAACAGAUGGACCAGGUCUAUUUCCUUUUGCUCAACAGAAGCAACAAAAAGUUUAAUAUUCAUCAUAAAAUAAAACUCUCCACCUCCUGGCCUUUACAACAGUCCCAUGAUCCACUGCCAAGCUCUUCUCUACCCCUGCCUCUAAUUCUCAUUAUGUUAAUUUUUUUUUUUUUUUGCUUUGUGCUGACACUCCUAACUGCCAGUAACUUCUUUCCUCUCUCUCUGACAACUCUCUGGCCCAGUUCUUGGCCCUCAGUGAAACUUGCAGCCCUCCAGGCAGAAAUUGAUUGCUAGGAUGCCAAUUCAGGCCAGUACUGCCUCCCUUUUAGAUAUUUAUGGGCAGGGCUCUGAAUUGUGAGGGACUCAUGAACUCAGACACAUUUUUAAGAGAACUUUAUAGUUAAACCUCUGUUUGGCUAAGGGCUUAUUUUUAAAAAUAAUAAAUCUAGGUUCUUAGAGAAUAGAACUCAAGGGGCAGAAGUUUGAAUCUAUAAAGUUCACAUAUCAGUCAUGGAGGAGCCCUUGCAGCCAUCUAGUGUUUCUCAAACUUCUCUAUCUCAGUCCACCUAAUGGUAGAUCUGAAUAUCAUAUCUCCCCACAUGGAAAAAGAGUCAGUGCUUACACUAAAUCUCCAUAAUGUUUUUCACUGCGAUAAUUCAUUAUAACAUUGUGCUGGUUGGUUUUUGUCAACUGGACAUAAACCUAGAUAUACCAGAGGAGAGAGAAUAUAAACUGAAAAAAUUGCAUAUCUCAGAUUUACCCAGGGGUUAUCUGUAGGGUAUUGUGGACUGUGGGGGUAUAGUCUUUAUUAAUGACAGAUGUGAGAGGGCCCAGCUCACUGUGGGCAGUGCCAUCCCUGGGCAAGAAGUCAUGGCUUCUAUAAAGCAGCAGUCUGAGCAAGCCAUGAGGAGCAAUUCAGUAAGCAGCACCCCUCUAUGUCCUCUCCUUCAGUUUCUACCCUUUAUGAUGGACUACAAACUGUAAGCCAAAAUAAACCCUUUCCUUCCAC
ensembl:lncRNA